rnacentral:rRNA from 1 species
AGCGAACGCUGGCGGCAGGCCUAACACAUGCAAGUCGAACGAACCUUUCGGGGUUAGUGGCGGACGGGUGAGUAACACGUGGGAACGUGCCUUUAGGUUCGGAAUAACUCAGGGAAACUUGUGCUAAUACCGAAUGUGCCCUUCGGGGGAAAGAUUUAUCGCCUUUAGAGCGGCCCGCGUCUGAUUAGCUAGUUGGUUGAGGUAAUGGCUCACCAAGGCGACGAUCAGUAGCUGGUCUGAGAGGAUGAUCAGCCACAUUGGGACUGAGACACGGCCCAAACUCCUACGUGAGGCAGCAGUGGGGAAUCUUGCGCAAUGGGCGAAAGCCUGACGCAGCCAUGCCGCGUGAAUGAUGAAGGUCUUAGGAUUGUAAAAUUCUUUCACCGGGGACGAUAAUGACGGUACCCGGAGAAGAAGCCCCGGCUAACUUCGU